UAAACAAUCUUUUUAAAACUAAAAUGAUAAACAACAAUCUGCCCACUGUAAUUGAUUCAUGCUUUUGCUUUCUUGACUUUUUGGAAUAAUACUAUGCAUCAUUUUUUGUCUUAAUUAUUCCUCUUUUAUUUCCAGAAUUUUGAGCUCUAUAGAUCUAAUAACAAAGCAAGCAGAGGAUAUAUAGUUUCAUCAACUAAAAAGGUCUUGAGAACUUGAAAGGAAGGGAAGGAAAAGUAGAAACAUGGAAAAACGAAAAGAUAAUGAAGAAGCAAACAACUCAUUGGUGUUAUUUUCUGCUCUUCACAAGGACAUUGCCAAUGUUCUGGAUUUCCUAGAGAGAUUAAAGAAUGAGGAAAAUCAAAAAGCUCUUGACAUGGAUCAAGUUGAAAAGCUGAAAUCGGAGCUGGCAUUUAUAAACUACUCUUUUUCUCUUUUUUUUGUGUGUCUAAAGUGGGAUAAUGUUUUGUAAGCGCCAUUUGAUCAAUAUAUUGAAAAUGAGUUUUUGUAUGUCUGACUAUAUCUGCAGAAUUGUGAGAUUUACUGCCUAGUUUUGGAGAUGUUUAUUCAUUAAGAAUUAUCAGAGUUGAAUGAAGAUAUGACAGGAGAAGACAAGCUUCAGGUCCAUGUACGCUAAGAAAACAUCAACCAUCCUCCCUGAUGUGGCACUUCCUGGAAGUGAGAACUCUGCUGCCCGACCAAGGAAAUAAGGAGAAGAUUGAAAGGGUUAUGAAUUCCAUUGAGUUAGCCCUCCUUGAUCAAAUCAGUCAAGCGGAAAUUGACACCAACGUUGUAAUAUGUCUAUAAGUGUGUUUGAUGAAAGUCUCAACCCAACUAUUUGUGAAUAUUAUGUAGAAUUUGAGUAGAUGAGCAUGUGUGCUCUUUUUCUUGUCAUCAUUUUACUUGUAUAAAAAUAUUUCUAGAUUAAAAAAAUUAUGUGU